rnacentral:rRNA from 1 species
UCGUGCCAGCCACCGCGGUUAUACGAAAGGCUCAAGUUGAUAAUCUUCGGCGUAAAGCGUGGUUAAAAGACCUGUUAAACUAAGGCUGAACUCCCCCAAAGCCGUCAUACGCUCCCGGGAGCAUGAAACCCGACCACGAAGGUGGCCUUAAACCCUCUUGACCCCACGAAAGCUGUGAAACAAACUGGGAUUAGAUACCCCACUAUG